rnacentral:rRNA from 1 species
GGCUUAUAGUUUGAUCAUGGCUCAGGAUGAACGCUGGCGGCGUGCCUAACACAUGCAAGUCGAGCGAAGCACUUUACUUUGAUUCUUCGGAUGAAGAGUUUUGGGACUGAGCGGCGGACGGGUGAGUAACGCGUGGGUAACCUGCCUCAUACAGGGGGAUAACAGUUAGAAAUGACUGCUAAUACCGCAUAAGACCACAGCAUCGCAUGGUGCAGGGGUAAAAACUCCGGUGGUAUGAGAUGGACCCGCGUCUGAUUAGCUAGUUGGUAAGGUAACGGCUUACCAAGGCAACGAUCAGUAGCCGACCUGAGAGGGUGACCGGCCACAUUGGGACUGAGACACGGCCCAAACUCCUACGGGAGGCAGCAGUGGGGAAUAUUGCACAAUGGGGGAAACCCUGAUGCACCGACGCCGCGUGAGCGAAGAAGUAUUUCGGUAUGCAAAGCUCUAUCAGCAGGGAAGAAACUGACGGUACCUGACUAAGAAGCACCGGCUAAAUACCUGCCAGCAGCCGCGGAAUACGUAUGGUGCAAGCGUUAUCCGGAUUACUGGGUGUAAAGGGAGCGUAGACGGACUUGCUAGUCUGAAGUGAAAGCCCGGGGCUCAACCCCGGGACUGCUUUGGAAACUGUAGUCUAGAGUGCUGGAGAGGUAAGUUGUAAUUCCUAGUGUGCGGUGAAAUGCGUAGAUAUUAGGAGGAACACCAGCGGCGAAGGCGGCUACUGGACAGUAACUGACGUUGAAGGCUCGAAGCGUGGGGAGCAAACAGGAUAGAUACCCUGGUAGUCCACGCCGUAAA